CGUAAAGCACGUCACCGGCAUUCGCCGAACGGCUCGGUUCACCGGUUCUGACGGCGGCAGGCCCAGUUUUUUGGCACCGGGCAGGACGUGACUCCCCAGGGGAAGCUUUAAAGCUAAUCCGCUGCUGCCCACGGGUGUCUGCGUGACACCCCGUGUCGGCCGAAUUGGGCCACCCUGUGCAGGACACCGGCGUUGCUCAAGCGCGGCAGAUACCGGCCACCAAUCCAGAAGGAGGAUCCCCUGGAAGACCAAACCUCAUCUGUCACGUUAAAUGACUUGAGUCUUGGCUACCUGACCCAAACUCCCCGGUACAAAUUAUAUGUAGCGCUAAGCCUCAAACUGCCCCGGAGCUGUCACUCCCCAGGGUGUUUUCACGUGAGCUCUGACUCGAGAGAUGGGAGCAGAAGUUGGGCCGGCAGGUUGUUCGGCGCCUCCGACAUCCCAAGGAAAACGGAGGCACAGAGAAGUCAAGCUGCACAUCCGUGGUCAUGCAAGGGCCAGGCCAACUGCUGCCCACUGUGGACACCGUGCGAGGUUACACCGCUCCGGCAAUCGCGGUGCAGGCAGCUGAUGUUUCUGCAUCAGCAGGAUUAAUCAGAUGAGCACAACCUGCAAGACAGGAGCAGGUCUUGAUGCCGGGGCUGGGCGUACUGCCGAGGUCGCUGCCGCACGCUCGGCUUUCCUCGUGAGAAUUCGCUGGGACCCAAGGACAGCACGGCAGCAUUUUGUAAGUCCUCACUGAUGCAUCUCUUCCAAGCCUUCCUGUUCAGGCUCUUUCACAAAAAUAAAAAACCCGCCAGAUUUUCA
rnacentral:lncRNA from 1 species